rnacentral:rRNA from 1 species
GAGCAAAUCUCAAAAAAACAAUCUCAGUUCAGACUGCAGGCUGCAACUCGCCUGCACGAAGUCGGAAUUGCUAGUAAUCGUAGGUCAGCAUACUACGGUGAAUACGUUCCCGGGCCUUGUACACACCGCCCGUCAAACCAUGAGAGUUGGCAACACCCGAAGUCGGUAGUCUAACCGCAAGGAGGACGCCGCCGAAGGCGGGGUUGAUGAUUAGGGUUAAGUCGUAACAAGGUACC